CAAGUGUUAUUAUUGCGUAGUCUUGUGUGCCAGUGUGUGAAUCAGCAAAACAGUACAGUAAGCCUUUCAACAGAAAACCAAGUGGAGAUGGUCUGACUUAUCAUUAACGCUUGCAGCUAUGUGGUGAGGAAGAUCAGAGCUGCGGUCACCAGUGCUGACCAGCCCGUGAAGCCUUCCAAAGCAUCAUGUAGCCAGGCUAAAGAGCGAAGGGGAGUUGAGAAGCAGUAUAAACAAGUGCCAGUCAUGAGCAGCGAACCUCCCCGUGAGAGAGCUGUUCAGGAAUGCGGCUCCUGAGGUUAAAGGUCACACACUGUCCGUGGAGGAAGGAGGGAUAACGAUACCAGAAAAUGAGUCGUGUCAGCAACUCAGCAAAUUCAUCCUGCCAGAAAAAAAAAAAAAGUUUAAUGAAAAAUGAGGAAUUAGUUCAUUUGUCAGUCAGUUUUCAAUAAUAUAGAUUUAAAAAAUGGUAUUUAAGGAAAUAUACCAGCCAGACCCCCUUUCCCCUCUCCUCAACCAACUCCUCCUCCUCUCUCUCUCUCAUGCUCAGUGUAAAGCCUCUGCAUUAAAAAGCUCACUGCCUCUGUCCAGCAAAUGAAUGAAGACUUGGUCAUAAACUCUCUGUAUGUGAGAGGUGACCAGGUCUGAAGAAAUAGUUUUUGCUGUUUGUAUACCUUUCAAUAAAGUCUUAACACAGAAA